rnacentral:lncRNA from 1 species
AGCGUCAAAGCGCGCUUAAAUCAUCAUUGAGAUUUCGGGGGGCACUGGUGACCCCGGCGGCACAAUUGGGCAAACAGCCACACGCGCCCGUUUAAAAGCCGAAAAUCGACUCCGAUUCUGGUUAAACCUCCUGUAAGACCGGGAGAUCUGUUGUGUCGCAUCGCCGUGACGAUGCACCUCAAAUCGUGGGCCACUCUCGGCGUGCUCUUGGUGGUCGUCGCUGUCGCUAGUGUAGAUGGACUGGAGGAAGAUGACACUUCUGAUCCCGCCGUUCUCGAAAGAAGAAUAGUACAGCUCGGUUUACUCGCCGCCCCGCUGAUGAAGAAGGGUGGGGAGGCAGCGGUGAAAAAGAUUAAACAAGAAAGGAAUAAGAAGAAGAGAAAAAGAAGAGACAGAGAGAGGCUCAGCUACAGAGAGACAGGGAAGCAAAGAGGAAAAAAGAAGAGGCAGACAAAGAUGAAGAAAGCAAGAAAAAAAGUAAACGGCAGAAGAAGAAAGAAAAGAAGAAAAAGAAAGAGAAGAAAAAGAAAGAGAAGAAAAAGAAAAAGAGAAAAAGAACAAUUCAACCACACCGAUGGAGAACGGUGGUGGCGGUAUGCACGGGAUGGAGUCACUGAACAAGGAAGGUGGUGUCGGUGGUGGCGAAGGUGGUGGUGAAGGUGGUGGUGAAGGUGGUGGUGCCGGCGGGGGCAUGAAGGCGCAUGGUGAAGGUGGUGGUGUCGGCGGGGGCCUAGGCGAGAAGACGGAGGGUGGUGGUGUCGGUGGUGGUGUCGGCGGGGGCCUAGGCGAGAAGACGGAGGGUGGUGGUGUCGGUGGUGGUCUUGUGGUGGUGAGAGUGCUGGUGGCGGUUUCAACGAUAAGAAAACAGGUGAGACCGGCACACCGGAAAGUUUAUCACCGUCACCCCCCGCAGUCUAGUCACCAUCGGGUUGAUCCGUGACCUUCAUCGGAAUACUUCAACUUCAGACGCGUUGCCCUGGCAACCCACGGCUGAACUCCAAUGGAAGAUCUCUGUACUCAAUGCGCACUGAUUUAAUUAUGAUUAAUUAGCACUGCAGCAGGACCCGCCGCGAUCACGUUCACCCUCGUUUCUAAACAGCUCCUUUCGUUAUGAAGCCCUUCCUGAUUUACAUUGUCAAUGAGGGAGGUUUAAAAGAGCUCGUAGUCCGUUCAAGUAUUACCUAAGGCACUUAGGGAGGAGGGGUACGAGCUUGCCUUGCGGAGCCAUAAGAAGGGGGAAGGGGGGUCAAGCCAUCUUACGUAAGCUUUAGUCGUAUACAAUACGCCUUUUAACGCCGUAACUAGCUCCUUUCCUCUUACUAUUUCGGGGAAAAAAGUCCCCGAUUUUCUUGAAAACACCACUAAAAGUACCCGAAAGUCCCCAAUUUCGGUUAUUUAUAACUUAUAACACCCUGACAAUUUUUCAAUUAUUUGCUUCUAUUUUACCAGGCUUUCUCAGUUUUUUUCUGAAAAAAUGGGGGGGGGCGGUCAAUCUUACGUAAUUCAAAGGGGGCCAGAGAAUUCUUACGGGUGCCUUACAAGGGGAAGGGGGGAGUCAAAAAGUUGGCAAAAAUGCCUUACGUAAUACUUGAACGGCCCCUAACAUUAACAUAACAUCAUAAGAAAGAUAGUUCGACCAAUGUUGAAUGAAAUUCAACCGUAUAACUUCGCCAAAGACCCCUCCGAGGGAUUGUAAUUAUUUGCCCCUAAAGAAAAAUAAAAAUACAAAAGAAAAUGAUCUCCACAUUCUGUGGGUUUGCACCCACUUUUAAUUUUUUGGAAAUCGAAAACUUUUUUACUUUCUGCAGUGUUAUAUCAUUACAUUUCCUCGCAAUAAUUUAUUUCCGAAAUUAUAUCAUUAAAUUUCACUCAAGACCCACCUAAAAAUUGUAAAAAAGCUGUUUUUUUAAACUUUGUAAAAAAAUGUUAUUGAUAUAAAAUUUUGUUUUUUACUUGAUGAAAUUUUUCUUAAUCCCGGUUGAUGCCGAUUGGGCAAGGCACUCAAAACAUAUGUAUCCAUACUUUCCGUAGUUUUCUUCUUGGAAGUAAAUGGACUAAUUCGCCUGAUGAGUGAUGACCUUAUUGCUGGGCAAUCUGUUCAGCAAGCAAGACUUCGUCACGCAGGCCGACUAGUGUUGCAAACUGAUCAUCAUCAGUCGUAAUUACGUCAGUAAAAUUCGCAACAACCACUCUCAAGUUUCAAGCGAAAAAUACUGUUGAGCUCCGUUUUUGACCCAUUCCUCAUCCUACUCUUACUCAAUAUAAAAUCACAAGAGAGACUCGUAACACAGAAUCUGAUCAUCCCCAAUAAUCAAAUGCGAUACGAGUGAGGAGGGAACUAUUUGAUUUAGUGGCGAGGCGUGAAUGAUCGAUUUAUCGAUAUUCCCCCAUUUGAAGCUUUGGUAAAGAAUCGAUUAUUAAGGUGUUCAUCGCGAACACCCUGUUUAUCGAUCCUUUUCCAUAUUUAAAUGGCAGAUUAAUCGAUAAAUCGCACGGCACUCCGAAUCUCACUCCAAAAUUUCAAACACUGAUUCAGGUAUUUCUGUAGUAAUACCGUGUCUCGUUUCAAUACUUCAGUUUUAUAGAAAAGUCGAUUCAGAGCUUUUGGCGAAACGAUUUUUAACUCGCGAUGAGUCCAAUAAAUGGAAAUGCAGAAAAACUCCUAAAUGAUACACUGUGUCUUUUUAACACUUACAAAUUACAAUGUUUGAGAGCAUGUUGAAAUUUCUUAAAAAAAUACUGGUUUUUCUUCAUAAAGACUUUUUCAAUGUAAAUUUUACUAGAGGUAAAUGCUUAUUAUGCCUUGUCUCAACGGGACAUUUCAUGGGAUCUGUCCCAAGGAAAAAUCUCACUUGCGAAGUUGGGAAAAGUAUUGAGUUAGUCGAUACUAAUCACAGUGCCAACUAAGAGUCAUUGUGGAGUCUCAGAAACGACUUAAAAAGAAGAUGAAGAAAUUUUGUUGUGUUGCUUAACGGGGAAAAAGCCAAGAAGUUUCAUUCCUGCGACUCAAACUUGGAGAAAACCCCGUGAAACGUCCCGUGGAGACAAGGAUUUAGAAAAAUCCAAAAAUAAAAUCCUAAAACAUAAUUCAUGAUAGUUUUUUUUAAGUUUUGAAAAAUGCUUCUGAACUGUAUCGUCGUUGUUUCGGCACCCCUGAGUUUUAA